rnacentral:rRNA from 1 species
GUAGUCCACACGGUAAACGAUGAAUGCUAGGUGUAGGGGGUAUCGACCCCUUCUGUGCCGGAGUAAACACAAUAAGCAUUCCGCCUGGGGAGUACGGCCGCAAGGUUGAAACUCAAAGGAAUUGACGGGGGCCCGCACAAGCAGCGGAGCAUGUGGUUUAAUUCGAAGCAACGCGAAGAACCUUACCAGGUCUUGACAUCCAGUUAAAGCCGUAGAGAUACGGUGUGCCCUUCGGGGCGAACUGAGACAGGUGGUGCAUGGUUGUCGUCAGCUCGUGUCGUGAGAUGUUGGGUUAAGUCCCGCAACGAGCGCAACCCUUAUUUUUAGUUACUAACGGGUAAAGCCGAGGACUCUAAAGAGACUGCCGGGGACAACUCGGA